rnacentral:rRNA from 1 species
UGAGGCAUUUCUAAGUGAGUUAGGAGCCACAACAAUUGUAGAACACACAGUGUUUAACAAGUAUACCACAGUAAA